GGAGUUGCUCUAAACUCCAACGACACAGUGGUAGUCGAAAUUUCUUAAAGCCAAUGUCAAAUGAUUUUCUGAGAAGAAAGAAAUGCUCAGAUCAAAUUCAACCAACAAUUCAACCACACAAAAAGGCCCAUCGAAUUCUCAGUCAAUUGCUAUGAAUUUUAGUUUUAGGAAUCUUCUUCUUUGUUUUUUUUUUUUUUUUUAAAAAGAAGAUUCAAAUGAAUUUAAUGGAGUCGUUAAAUUUUUAUCUCAAUUUCUUCAAUACAAAGUGAUGAAAUAAUGUUUGAAUAAGCAUUGUUACUUUGUGCUGAAAAUUUUUAACAUUCUCUACUGUCUGUUCAUACGUCCUGUGAUGCAUUAGUAGUUUAGGACUAAGUAAUUUUUUCUCUUAUGAGAUAUUAUAAGUUGGUCUCUAAAUAUCCAUUGAAUUAUAUUCUUUUUUAAUCAAGAAUCAAUAAAAAUAAAAGUUUUUCAAAUGAAAAGCAAAUGUAUCCAAUCUUGAAAAUUGUAAGAUGGGUAAGGAGGGUGGAAAUUGAUGAUGGUUUGGUGGCUAGAGGCGGAGGGAGAAAGAGUGCAGAAGAUGAUGAAAAAAAUAUUUUUUCUAACAAAAAUCAGCUACUCACACAUUCAAAGAAUGUGAAAUACACACAAUAAGUCAGCAAAAGGUGUCAAAAUGCCAUAUCGAAAUAAUAUUAAAGGUGCUUAAAAUAUCAAAAUAAUAUUAGAGGUGCUUAAAAUGAACAAUAUCUAUUUUAGGUGUCAAACUGAAAGAUCGUGCCAAGUUAAAGGGUCCGUCGAUGUAUUUGGCCAAAUAAAUUUAAACAAUCACUAUCUCUAUUACUAUUUUAUGAUAUAGUACUCUUCAUGUCUCAAUUUAUAUGAUUCUUUCACACUUUUUAAUUUUGAUCGUACAAUCGGGUGACAUUGAAG
rnacentral:lncRNA from 1 species